rnacentral:misc_RNA from 1 species
GAUGAAGAACGUAGCGAAAUGCGAUAAGUAGUGUGAAUUGCAGAAUUCAGUGAAUCAUCGAAUCUUUGAACGCACAUUGCGCCCCUUGGUAUUCCAUGGGGCAUGCCUGUUCGAGCGUCAUUUGUACCUUCAAGCUUUGCUUGGUGUUGGGUGUUUGUCUCGCCUUUGCGUGUAGACUCGCCUUAAAAUAAUUGGCAGCCGGCGUAUUGAUUUCGGAGCGCAGUACAUCUCGCGCUUUGCACUCAUAACGACAGCGUCCAAAAGUACAUUUUACACUCUUGACCUCGGAUCAGGUAGGGAUACCCGCUGAACUUAAGCAUAUCAAUGAGCGGAGGA